rnacentral:rRNA from 1 species
AUUGAACGCUGGCGGCAGGCUUAACACAUGCAAGUCGAGCGAGAGGCGGACGGGUGAGUAAUGUCUGGGAAACUGCCUGAUGGAGGGGGAUAGCUAAUGGAACCGGUAGCUAAUACCGCAUACCAUCGGAUGUGCCGAAAUGGGAUUAUCUAGGAGGUGGGGUAAAGGCUCACCGAGGCGACGAUCCCUAUCUGGUCUGAGAGGAUGACCAGCCACACUGGAACUGAGACACGGUCCAGACUCCUACGGGAGGCAGCAGUGGGGAAUAUUGCACAAUGGGCGCAAGCCUGAUGCAGCCAUGCCGCGUGUGUGAAGAAGGCCUUCGGGUUGUAAAGCACUUUCAGCGAGGAGGCGUUACCCGCAGAAGAAGCACCGGCUAACUCCGUGCCAGCAGCCGCGGUAAUUC